AAAUUGAAGAGUUUGAUCAUGGCUCAGAUUGAACGCUGGCGGCAGGCCUAACACAUGCAAGUCGAACGGUAACAGGAAACAGCUUGCUGUUUCGCUGACGAGUGGCGGACGGGUGAGUAAUGUCUGGGAAACUGCCUGAUGGAGGGGGAUAACUACUGGAAACGGUAGCUAAUACCGCAUAACGUCGCAAGACCAAAGAGGGGGACCCUCGGGCCUCUUGCCAUCGGAUGUGCCCAGAUGGGAUUAGCUUGUUGGUGGGGUAACGGCUCACCAAGGCGACGAUCCCUAGCUGGUCUGAGAGGAUGACCAGCCACACUGGAACUGAGACACGGUCCAGACUCCUACGGGAGGCAGCAGUGGGGAAUAUUGCACAAUGGGCGCAAGCCUGAUGCAGCCAUGCCGCGUGUAUGAAGAAGGCCUUCGGGUUGUAAAGUACUUUCAGCGGGGAGGAAGGGAGUAAAGUUAAU
rnacentral:rRNA from 1 species